GGGGCGGAUCUAGGAUUCGACAAGAUUCAUGAAACCCAAGGUGCAUGCCCAGGGGCGGUUUGCCUGGUAAAAAGCCGUAAAAACUAUAAUUGCUAACGACGAUACGUUCGCACUAGCCGCUUAGGCUAGCCAUCGCCUUGAAAUCUCUCCUAUUGGUUAGAGGAUCGAUGGUCACCCCAAAUAGGAUAGCGAGGGAAGCACGCUUAAGGCUGAACCGCGAAAUAGUAUUAAGCUCACCAUGACGAAGCCUGUCGCUUGGCGUCUAAUUGGUUAAAUAAAUAAGCGACUAAGCAUGUAGUACCGAGGAUGUAGGCUUUUUGGACGGGGGUUCGAUUCCCCCCCGCUCCACCA
rnacentral:tmRNA from 2 species